GCAACUAUGGGUCUCAGCACAUUAUUCUGUUGAGUUACUAUUAUGUGACCAAGGCUGGGUGGGACAGGACUGGGUUAUACAUGAGUUUCAGUGUAUAAGAAAAGACAAGGACAGUAUCAGAGUUGAAGAAACAUACCUGCUUAUAAUAAGUACAUUUUAGAUAAUUUCAUUCAGUAGAUGCUAUGGCAGAGGCAGUGUACAAUGAAUGAGCAAUUUCACAUUUUUGAGAGACCAACACAAUAAUCUAAGCAGAGUUCAUUCAGAAACUGCUAGAUUCUUGACUCCUAAGAAUACCUGGAACCAGUUCUUUUUUUUUUUUUUAAUCAAACCAGUUGAUGUUCACGCAUUGCGUGCAUGCACCCCUAACAUGAGGCAAAAAAAAAAAAAUCUCCCUCUGUAAAACUGGCUUUCACUCACCUUCCUUGGGUCCGGGUCUCCGGUGCUAUGGUCUCUGACACCCUGCUUUGAGCUGGAUGUGCCCUGAUCAUUGGUGCUUGCCUGAAGGAGACUUGGCUAAUCUGAGAUUCUUGUUCUGUAUAUCCCAGGAUUUUGACCCCAGCUAGUUCCUGGAAACUUGACUUCCUGCUCAGUCUUCCCCUAAUUCCAUGUUCCACUAGCUGCCAUGCCCAGUUGCUGCGUGUGUCUGGGUGAGGCAGUCACACUUCAGAAUUGGUACCCGUAUUGAUGCUGCAAGUAUCUCAACCAGAGGUAUAGACCUGCCUUCACAUUCAUGCUUCAUGGGUGGAGAGGAGGAUAAAGGGACAAUGCUUAUCAGGCUGCUGGCAGGAAUCCAUGAAAAUCAUAGUGCCGAGCAGAAGAGCAGACUCGCCACGCCCUGUGCUGCCCCAGGAGGGCUGGUCCCUCAGGCACCUUCCCAAAGAGAAGCCUGCUUUUCUGUAGGAAGGCAGAGAGGGCUUCAGAACCGCCCCGGCCUCUUAAAUAAGGCACAUCCCAGUCCAGUAUACCCUCUUCCCCUCACUCCUCGACCCGAAAUAUGGGGAAAAGCUGCAUGAUCUCACUCUUCUAAAGAAGACAAACCUGGAAGUGACUCCAUCCCCUGACGCUCAAGCAGAGAAAGCUCAUCGAUGACGUCACCUCCUUUUCCCUCAAAAGUCAAGCUUAAGCAUGACCUUCCCUCAAACCCGGCAGGAAAGAUCAGGCAUGAUGUCAGCCGACCCCCACCCCACUCCUCUCUCCCCACCCAGCUGGCCGAUGACUCGUUUUCACCCCGAGGACGGAAGACGGCAUCUCAGAAGUGACUCUGCCUGGAGGUGUGGGUGUCUGGCUGGCCGCUGCUUCGUCUCAGUCCCGGCAGGCCCAUCUGCCUAGAAGGCAGCCAGGAGUCAGUGAGGAGUCACACGAACCGUGACUCAGCACGUGGCAGCAGACAGGAAUUCGUUCAGGGCUCAACAUCCAAUAAGGAGUUUUCAGGCAAGUCUGGAGGGCAAGAUGAGCCAGCUCACAAUGAGAAACUGAAAAGCAAAAGGGAAACCAGGACUGAGAAAUUCCUAGGGGGAAAGAAAAAAAAAAACGCACAACCUUGGCCGGGAGAAGGUUACUUGAAUUGACAGGGAUAUGAGGCAAGGGCGACCUCGGACCUACAUCAGCUCACGGCUCUGCCAGCACUCAGGAAGCCAGCCGUCUCUCGGUCUAGUUUGCUGUAUGCCCUUCUGACCUCCUCUGCAGGUGCUGGGUCCUCCUUGCAAAGAAGGACCAGCCCCAAGAAGGACAGGACAGCCUAAGUGUGCAUCAGGGCCUCAGCACCCAGGAGCAAUAGUGUUUGAGUCUGCAGUCCAGAUUUAACACAUGAAGAGGAACAGGAUAGGAAGAAAAUAAAAGAUUGUAAAUAAAAGAUGGAAUGUCCAUCGUGGGGAGGCUGGUGUGUGGGAAUGGG
ensembl:lncRNA